UGCUCAGUCCACAAAGUCCUCCAUCGCAA
rnacentral:piRNA from 1 species